UGCCUUCUUGCCUUCUCGGAGCGGCCCCCAGUUCUCCACCCCGUCGGAGAGGAACGAAGAGCGAGCUCUCUUACAAAUACAAUUGGGGGGGCAGGCGGCUCGCAAAACCCGGGCUGGACUUCCAGCGCCAACUGCCCCUUCUCCGCGCUGCCAGGAGAGAAGAGGAGGGAGGGAAGGGAAGGGAAAGGCAAGGAAUGGACUCGUUUCCCCAAAGGCAGGGAACUCUAAGACAAAGGACAAGAAAGUCGCCUUCUAUCUAUUGGGCCAAAAGAUGCAACAAGUCCCAUGUCAAAACAAAAACAUCCGAGUUUCAUCUGUCAGAACCAUGACAUCCCACUUGGGAAGAAACCUCCCAUCUUCUCAGGCCUAAAACCAAUGCACUCUGAGGACUAUUUCUCAAUUUUUUUGACCCGCAUUUGGAUGGGGAUAAUGUUAUUGGAGAACUCCGCCGAGAUAAAGUCAUGAUCCACCAGGUGGGUCAAUGAAGUACCUCAACUGAAAGCCAAAUGCUUGCCUUUUUUCCCACUCUUUUCAAAGAUUUUCUGCAUAACCCAAGUAGGGGUUCUGUUAAAGAACAGCAAACCUUCUCUAUAAUAAAUUAACAAC